GAAAUCCUGAGGGUGAAAAUACGUCAAGUCAUCGUGGAUUGUCUUCCUUAUUUUGUAGCACAGGAAGAAUAAAUCCUGAGGGUCAAUAUACGUCAAGUCAUUGUGGAUUGUCUUCCUUAUUCUGUAGCACAGGAAUUUCAAGGCAUAAAACCCCUCCAGGAGAACCACAUCUACAGGAAAGUGAAAAGUGGUGGGUCUACGAGGGGGAGAUCCCGUGUGGCUUCUUCGGGCUGGCCGGGUGAAGGCCCGACCACCAGGUCCCUCCCCCGGGCCUGGCUCCAGGGUGAGGCCCCGGUAUCCCACAUCCCGGGCGAGGUACGGUUCCUCCUCUUGUUUUUAUUUAUAUGGGUCUUCUGAAUUGAGUUGAGGUGGCUCGGGCAUCUAGUCCGGACGCCUCCCUGGUGAGGUGUUCCGGGCAUGCCCAGCCGGGAAAAGGUCCCAGGCAGACCUAGGACACGCUGGAGGGCUCACAGCUGGCCUGGGAACGCCUUGGUGUCCUCCCGGUGGAGCUGGAGAAGGUGGCCGGGAACCGGGAAGUCUGGGCUUCCCUACUGAGACUGCUGCCCCCGUGACCUGGACCCGGAUAAGUGGAGGAAAAUGGAUGGAUGGAUAGUAACGUCACACGGGAGGCACUUGCAGUAGCGCUGGAAGGUGCUUGUCACUGCCGUCCUUCCACAGAGGAAAAGCCAGCAAACCAUGGAGGAAUUAAUUUGACUGCCAAAAUGGAGGAUGAGAUACCCAAAUCCCCCCCACCACCACCAAUGAUUACAGACUGGUGUCGGCUGUCUUCAUUGUCGGCGCGCUGACAACGGCGGGGGGCGCCGUGCUACCCGGGGGGGCAUCCCUGCAGAAAAAGACGGCAGGGUUUUUGCAGGCCCACAUUGUAACCUCCGCCCCCGCUCCUUUGCCCGGACUUGAACUGGACAGUCUGCUGUUAUGACUCAUUCCCACUCGACUCAAGUAGCGACCCCUGAUCUUCUCCACCUGAGUAAGACAAAUGUCCCGGUUCUGGGCGCGGCUGGACAAGUACGGUGCGAUAUUUCUGGUGCGGUAGCCCCCCUCUCUCCUGCGCCCCAGCAGCAUGGAUAUGUUGGGGUUCCUCAGGGCGUAGAUGAGGGGGUUGAUGGCUCCAUUGGCCCAAGCCAGCCAAAUGGCAGCUGUGUCCAUCACAGGGGUGAAAGUGUAGUCUCCAAAUGCGCUGAUCAGCCCCAUUAAACAAUACGGCCCCCAGCAAAAAAUGAUGAAAACAAUCAUAAUGAGGACGGUGGUGGCCGUGCGCAUCUCGCUGUAGAACCUCAGCAAGUACGCGUACGUAGUCACAGGUCUGACUCGUAUUUCCGAGAGGCGGACUGUCUUACAGAUGUUGUAAUGACAGAAACACAUCAGCGAAAAGGGCAGUAAAAAACACACAAUGAUAAGACAGAUGCUAUAAGCUCCACCCGUGUGGGAGCUCCCGGAGUGGAAAACGUACAUGCAGUGGUAGAAACCCUGCUUGUGGAUUUCUUUCGGCCUUUGUGUGACCAGAUACCACGGAAGGGAGAAGACAACUGCAGCUAACCAAACGGCGACUAACAACUUAGUGGCUUUGGGUCGCCCGAUUUUAGCCUGUGGCUGCCUGACGAUGGCGUAGUACCUGUCCAACGAGAUCAAAGUCAUAGUCAAGGUAGACACGAUGCCAAAGCAGGUGUUGAAAAACCCGUUGGCCACACAGAAACCAUCCCCAAACAUCCAGACCCCGUCCCUACUGAAGAGCAUGACAAAGGAGAAGGGCAGGCAUAGGACGGCUGUGAGGAAGUCGGACAUGGACAGAGACAUAAUGAAAGCGUUGGUCACCGUCUGGAGCUGCCGGUGUUUGAUGAUGACAAUCAAGACGGCAAAAUUACCCAGGCUGGAGAGAAGGAAAAUGGAGAGGAGUACCAGUGCCUGAGCUGCCACCAUAAAGCCCUUCAGGACAGUGUUAGUCUCGGCGGCGCUCAGCACCGAAGGUGUCGGUGCCCCAUGACCCCCCGGGGCUUUGAACGAAGUUACAUUCCCGCCGCUCGAUACCAUGGCCUCUGGGGUGGUCGUCACCAGGCCACUGACCGAGGAGACGACCCUGAAAUGGAGAAAUCUUAUCAAUUCAGAGGAAGUGACAGCGAUCCAAGACUUUGAUGGGAUCGUAGACCCUGGUUGAUUGCCCAGACCAGACGCUGAUUUGAGGACUUUGUCUAAAUAUGGUAAUGGUUUUAUUUCAUUUGAACAUGCAUCAGAUUCCAAUUGAGUGCAUCCCAUAAUCAGUUCCCAGUUCCACAUGUCCAAAAGGAGUAGGAAGAAGCAAAGCUUAUUAAAUCCUACCCCUCCAUCUGGUACUUUUACAAUCACUAACUGUUACAUUUGUUCACUUCCUGCUUUCCUAAUGUAGUUUAAGUUUUUCUUUGAAAUUUUUUUGAAAUUUUUUUGAAAUUUUUUUGAAAUUUUUUUGAAAUUUUUUUGAAAUUUUUUUGAAAUUUUUUUAAAAAUUCUUUUAUUUUUUUUUAAUUUUUUAUUUUUUUAUUUAUUACAUCAACUGCUUGUAUUGUUUCUUGAAUUGGCUCAUCGUUGUGCAUUGUUUGAUUUCCUUACUCAAUCCAUUCCAUAGUUUGAUUCCACAUAAUGAAAUGCUAUGGCUAGCAUAACGUAGUCCUAGCAUAGAAGUGUUUCAAAUGUACUUCUUCCUGAGAUCAUAUUUCUCCUCUCUUGUAGAGAAGUAUUGGAUGACAAUUUUAGCUAAUUGCUUAUUUUUAGCCUUAUGCAUUAUUUUAGCUGUUUGAAGAUGAACUAUAUCAGCAAGUUGAAGUAUUUGUGAUUUUAGAAAUAAGGAGUUAGUAUGUUCUCUGUAGGCGGCAUUAUGAAUUAUCCUUACUGACCUUUUUUGCAGUACAUUUAGCCAGUGAAUAUUGCUUUUAUAGUUAUUAGCCCAUAUUUCCACACAAUAAGUAAGAUAUGGUAGAACCAGAGAGCAAUAAAGAGUGUGGAGUGAUUUCUGAUUGAGAACUAAUUUUGCUUUGUUCAAUACUGAAAUAUUUCUGGCCACCUUAUGUUGUAUAUUUGUAACAUGAGGUUUCCAGCUCAUAUUUUCAUCUAUUGUGAUCGCCAGAAAUGUAUUUUCCUUCACCCUUUCAAUGUCCACACCGUCUAUUUGUAUUUGCUGCUGCGUGUCCUUUCUGCUGUUAGCAAAAAGCAUUAUUUUAGUUUUAUUUAGGUUCAAUGACAAUCUAUUAUCAUCAAAAGUAUGGUUAAGUAUGGUUCCUUAUUUGUCAAUGGAAUAUUGUCGUCAUACAAAACCUGUUUAUGAGCUUCUGAAUAUGUUUUCCAACAUUAUCAGGGGCUUUUAGUGACACGACACCCCCGCAAAGUACUUGGUUUUUCCGUCCGUGUACUACCUGUAACGUCGGCACCGGUGCCGGUAUGGAGAGCAUCUUCUGCACCAUUCUUAGCCCAGGGUGUAGCCCGAGGUUGCCAUGCGACGCAUCAGCAGAGUGACAGCAAAGCACCAAAUGUGCCAAAAGUGCAAGCAUGCAAAGAAUGAGGUCAGCGUGUUUUUAUUGUUGUAUUUCCUGUUUCCACCCGCCUUUCCUGUUUGUGCUUUUGCAGGCAUUUUUAUCUAGUGACUAGGGGCGGAGCCAAUCGGUAAUUAGUCUGAUUCAUAAAUCAGAAUGAUGCAGGGUCUUCAACAAACUCCGAGCCUCACCCCAAACUCUUCUUUGUCUCGGCUGAUGUCAAAUAGGCUGAUCAAAAGUUGAAGGCCACAACUUUGAACAUCUAAAAUCUUUCCAAAAAUCAGAUUCAAUGUCAUUUUCUGUCAGGUAUUCAAACCGCCAUGAUCUCUUGGUUGGAUGUCGAGCUGCACCAGCAUGGUUAGGGCAAGGGGGGCAUGCAGCUGCUGAGGUUGGACGCGGCAAGGUUUGAAACUUCUUCAACACGCCGAGGCUUAUGAAACAGAAAUGUCAACGUUGUCUUUGCAAUUGUUGUUGCUGCUGUUGUUUUUGUCUCUCUUUGUAUUGACUCCUCUUGUUAUUUCUUCUUUUCUAUCCCCUCCUGCUCUGGUCCGGCCGCGCCAAAUUAGCAUGAAAAAACAUCAAAUAAAGCCAAAUAAUAC